rnacentral:tRNA from 1 species
AAGUGCGUGUAAUUUAAAAAAAAUAUCAAGCUGUGAUCCUGACAUUAGGAACUUAUCCUCACACACC